rnacentral:rRNA from 1 species
UACGUAGGGUGCAAGCGUUUGUCCGGAAUUAUUGGGCGUAAAGAGCUCGUAGGCGGCUUGUCGCGUCGAAUGUGAAAUCCCGAGGCUCAACCCCGAGCCUGCAGUCGAUACGGGCAGACUAGAGUGCUGUAGGGGAGACUGGAAUUCCUGGUGUAGCGGUGAAAUGCGUAGAUAUCAGGAGGAACACCUGUGGUGUAGACAGCUUACUGGACCAUUUCUGACGCUGAGACACGAAAGCGUGGGUAGCAAACAGG